UUAGGAUAGUAGCUGUAAACAAACAGGGUUCUCUCAUUACAUCAGCCCUGUUGUUUAACACACACACACACACACACACACACACACACACACACACACACACACACACACACACACACACACACACACACACACACACACACACACACACACACACACACACACACACACACACACACACACACACACACACACACACACACAGAGUCACUUUAUUUAAGGAGAUUAACCAAGUCAUCCUACGCUUGUCAGCUAGUGCAGGGAGUUGAUAAAAUCCUCUUUCCAAAAAGCCCAUUUCAACUAUAAACCAAUGUAUUAAGAGUAUUCUCUUUUUAAUAUGAGGAAGUAUAUUUGAUUAUACUUGUAUCAGGAAAAAGACUCCAUCUAGCUGUGUACCUGGACUGAUGAUCGAUUGAUGAGAAAGAGAGAGAGAGAGAGAGAGAGAGAGAGAGAGAGAGAGAGAGAGAGAGAGAGAGAGAGAGACAGAGAGAGAGAGAGAGAGAGAGAGAGAGAGAGAGAGAGAGAGAGAGAGAGAGAGAGAGAGAGAGAGAGAGAGAGAGAGAGAGAGAGAGAGAGAGAGAGAGAGAGAGAGAGAGAGAGAGAGAGAGAGACAACACCCCUCUCUCCACAGAGCACUAGCAUGCCAGCUGUAUUUAGUUUAUUAGCAGUAUGACAGUGGUAGGAGUCUCAGCUUAAAGCCACCAACAGCAUAGCCCUAAUUUUAGCCUCCAAAGAGGAUAAGGUUUAAACAGGCCCUGCUGCUAGUAUGGGCCAUAUGGUCGUCUGACGAUAACAUUGUGUCGGGAAUAUUUAUCUUUCCCCUCUAGUUAUUUGUGGUUUCAGCGUUGGUCUGAAGUAGAGUGUGUAUUUAUAUGUAUAAAUGCGCUGAUAAAUGAACGGUUGUGGAGGUAUCUGAGGGGAACUGGGGGUCUAGAUGUUGGACUGGUGACACUAGUGGACUGUCCUGUAGUAAGGUUGGGCGUUAUCUGAGGGGAACUGAGGGUCUAGAUGUUGGACUGGUGACACUAGUGGACUGUCCUGUAGUAAGGUUGGGCGUUAUCUGAGGAGAACUGGGGGUCUAGAUGUUGGACUGGUGACACUAGUGGACUGUCCUGUAGUAAGGUUGGGCGUUAUCUGAGGGGAACUGGGGGUCUAGAUGUUGGACUGGUGACACUAGUGGACUGUCCUGUAGUAAGGUUGGGCGUUAUCUGAGGAGAACUGGGGGUCUAGAUGUUGGACUGGUGACACUAGUGGACUGUCCUGUAGUAAGGUUGGGCGUUAUCUGAGGGGAACUGGGGGUCUAGAUGUUGGACUGGUGACACUAGUGGACUGUCCUGUAGUAAGGUUGGGCGUUAUCUGAGGAGAACUGGGGGUCUAGAUGUUGGACUGGUGACACUAGUGGACUGUCCUGUAGUAAGGUUGGGCGUUAUCUGAGGGGAACUGGGGGUCUAGAUGUUGGACUGGUGACACUAGUGGACUGUCCUGUAGUAAGGUUGGGCGUUAUCUGAGGGGAACUGGGGGUCUAGAUGUUGGACUGGUGACACUAGUGGACUGUCCUGUAGUAAGGUUGGGCGUUAUCUGAGGAGAACUGGGGGUCUAGAUGUUGGACUGGUGACACUAGUGGACUGUCCUGUAGUAAGGUUGGGCGUUAUCUGAGGGGAACUGGGGGUCUAGAUGUUGGACUGGUGACACUAGUGGACUGUCCUGUAGUAAGGUUGGGCGUUAUCUGAGGAGAACUGGGGGUCUAGAUGUUGGACUGGUGACACUAGUGGACUGUCCUGUAGUAAGGUUGGGCGUUAUCUGAGGGGAACUGGGGGUCUAGAUGUUGGACUGGUGACACUAGUGGACUGUCCUGUAGUAAGGUUGGGCGUUAUCUGAGGAGAACUGGGGGUCUAGAUGUUGGACUGGUGACACUAGUGGACUGUCCUGUAGUAAGGUUGGGCGUUAUCUGAGGGGAACUGGGGGUCUAGAUGUUGGACUGGUGACACUAGUGGACUGUCCUGUAGUAAGAUUGGGCGUUAUCUGAGGGGAACUGGGUGUCUAGAUGUUGGACUGGUG